rnacentral:rRNA from 1 species
CCUACGGGUGGCAGCAGUGAGGAAUAUUGGUCAAUGGACGGAAGUCUGAACCAGCCAUGCCGCGUGCAGGAAGACGGCUCUAUGAGUUGUAAACUGCUUUUGUACGAGGAUAAACGCAGGUACGCGUACCUGUCUGAAAGUAUCGUAAGAAAAAGGAUCGGCUAAAUCCGUGCCAGCAGCCGCGGUAAUACGGAGGAUUCAAGCGUUAUCCGGAUUUAUUGGGUUUAAAGGGUGCGUAGGCGGUCGGUUAAGUUAGAGGUGAAAUCCCGGGGGUCAACUUCGGAAUUGCCUCUGAUACUGGUCGUCUAGAGAGGAGGUGCGGUAGGCGGAAUGUAUGGUGUAGCGGUGAAAUGCUUAGAGAUCAUACAGAACACCGAUUGCGAAGGCAGCUUACCAAGCUACUUCUGACGUUGAGGCACGAAAGCGUGGGGAGCGAACAGGAUUAGAUACCCUUGUAGUC